UUUGAUCCAUGGCUCAGAACGAACGCUGGCGGCGUGCCUAACACAUGCAAGUCGAACGUGAUCCGCCCUUCGGGGUGGUGAAAGUGGCGCACGGGUGAGUAACGCGUGGAUAAUCUGCCCGAGGAUUUGGGAUAACAUCUCGAAAGGGGUGCUAAUACCGAAUAAGCCCACGGGGUCUACGGAUCUUGCGGGAAAAGGGGGGGACCUUCGGGCCUCCUGUCCUUGGAUGAGUCUGCGUACCAUUAGCUAGUUGGUGGGGUAAUGGCCUACCAAGGCGACGAUGGUUAGCUGGUCUGAGAGGAUGAUCAGCCACACUGGAACUGAGACACGGUCCAGACUCCUACGGGAGGCAGCAGUGGGGAAUUUUGCGCAAUGGGGGAAACCCUGACGCAGCAACGCCGCGUGGGUGAUGAAGGCCUUCGGGUCGUAAAGCUCUGUCUGGAGGGAAGAAAUGAUUGGGAGCUAAUACCUCUUGAUCUUGACGGUACCUCUGAAGGAAGCACCGGCUAACUCCGUGCCAGCAGCCGCGGUAAUACGGAGGGUGCAAGCGUUGUUCGGAAUUAUUGGGCGUAAAGCGCGUGUAGGCGGUCUUUUAAGUCUGAUGUGAAAGCCCCGGGCUCACCUGGGAAGUGCAUUGGAAACUGGGAGGCUUGAGUACGGGAGAGGAGAGUGGAUUCCUAGUGUAGGAGUGAAUCCGUAGAUAUUAGGAGGAACACCGGUGGCGAAGGCGGCUCUCUGGACCGAUACUGACGCUGAGACGCGAAAGCGUGGGUAGCAAACAGGAUUAGAUACCCUGGUAGUCCACGCCGUAAACGAUGAGUACUAGGUGUUGCGGGUAUUGACCCUGCAGUGCCGUAGCUAACGCAUUAAGUACUC
rnacentral:rRNA from 1 species